CAAUUCUCCAGCUCCAGGUGACCUUUGAGACGACCCAGGCCAAUCCCUGCAUUUGACUGAUAAGAAAUGGAAGCCUGGCCACUGGGUCCACGUCACCCCACAAGUUAGUGAAAAACCAAGACCCGGGAGCAACUAUCUUCCACCUCCCCAGAGUCUGAAGGAUUAACUGGAAGACACUUCCUCCCUGAAGCUUCCCAGGUCAUCCCUGCCCAUGGAGAUCUCUCCUUCCUGUGAAUUAUUCAUCUUGCCUGUCUCUGCCAUUCAUUUGGCUUUUUAAAUGACCUCUACACCCUUCCAGACCAGCAAAAGUCCAAACAUUUGACAGUAUAUUCUAUUGGUGAGUAUCUGGGGAAACAGUCACUCUCCAACAUUGUUGAUGGGAAUUCAAAAUUAUACAAUCUCUGUGGAGAAGAGUUUUGCAAUGUCCAGCAAACAUGCAUGAGCCUUUUCCCUUCAACCCAGAAAUCAUAGUUCUAGGAGCCUACCCCAAAUAUAACUACCAAAACUGUGAAAUGACGUAUGUUCACGGUUAUUCACUGCAGCACUAUCUGUAAUAGCAAAGACAGAACAAUUCGAACGCCCAUCAGUAGGGGACCCGUUGACUACAUCCCGAAAUAUGCACACAAGAAGUGCUCCUCCACUGUAAAAAGGAAUAAGGAUGGCCUCCAGAAAUACACGGUCAGAAGGGUAAGAAAAGUGUGCUGUCUGUUUGGUUAGAAAAGAAGGAGGAUUGCAAGGAUGUGUUCACAGAAACAACAACAGAGGGAUAAAGCCAAAACUCAUGAAAAACCGUGAUCUCUAAGGAAGCAAAAUGAUGGCAAUUUGAACGAGGGGGAAGGCAGACGUGGAAGCUAAACUUCUCUGCGUGUAUAUUUUUUUAUAACUUUGACUUUUAGCCAUGUAGAUAUUUUGCAGUAUUAAAAAACCAAAUCAUCUUUAGAAAAGGCAACGCCUAUCCAUCAAACACAAACUGAGGCAAAUGAAACCAACAGUGUAUCAAGUGGAUUUCAUAAUCACAUGGAGAAGCAUUUCAAGUGACUUUAAAACCCAGGCUUUUGACUGAAGAACCCCAGUGGGAUAGAACCUAUGGCCACAAAGACAUCUUAAAUCUUAUUUCUCAGUCUUCCUAGUUAUUCCGCAGGACAAAUGACCCAGUUUCACCAACAAAUAACACGGAUAAAAAUGAAAAGGAAGACAUUCUCUUCCAGACUAGAAAAGACUUAAGACACCUACAGUCAAAUGCAACUGUGAACAGAGAGUUUUGAAAUAAUCAAAGCAAACUGAACUCUAGUAUUAUUAGGUGAGAUUAAGAAUUAUUAUCAAUUUUAUUGAGUGUGAUAAUAAUAAAGUGGUUGUGGGCUUUUUAA